UUUGAAGAGCUAUAUAACCCUCAUAGCCCUUAUCUUUGCGCUCGUUGUCUGCGCUGGGUUUUUGUGCGUGUCUUUUGUCUCCCGCUCUUAGUUGUUGUUCUUUUUGUUAUUGUUGUUUCAAUGUCUGUUUUCCUUUGCAGACUGAAAUUUUCCGCUUCCAUGGCGUCGCUCCAGUCCCCGCCUUCCUGGUCGAAGAGUGGGAUGUGAUAUUACACUUAAUUUCUUUUAAUUUAUAUGCCAUUUUGUUUGGCCUUAAUGCUUAUGAUUUGUCACUUUGUGUUUGGCCUCUAAGGUUAUGAUUUGUCACUUUGUCUGGCCUUUAAUGUUAUGAUUCUUCGUGUUUGGCCGUAUUUUAAUAAUUGACUCGUACAGGCCUAGUUUGCCUUUCGUCAACAUGGACUUUCCUUAGCCCAAGGCUUUUAAAUUUUAAUUUACUGAUUGUAGGCUUGGUUUGCCUCAUUGACUGGUGUUUCAAAAUAAAUACUUAGUUUGUGACUGACUGUGA